AACGCACAUUGCGCCCCUUGGUAUUCCAUUGGGCAUGCCUGUUCGAGCGUCAUUUACACCUUCAAGCUCCGCUUGGUGUUGGGCGUCUGUCCCCGCUACGUGCGCGGGACUCGCCCCAAAAGCAUUGGCAGCGGCUUCGCCGGCUUCUUGCGCAGCACUUUGCGCUUCAUGAGGCUCCCGGCGGGCUCGCAUCCAUCAAGGAACCCCCCAGUUUGACCUCGAAUCAGGUAGGGAUACCCGCUGAACUUAA
rnacentral:misc_RNA from 1 species